AUAGCUGACCGGACUACGGCACAGCUUACCUACGAUCAUGGAAGCCACGAACUAAUACACGUCCAUGGUUAUACCACCUUUUAACAGAAUGUAAACAAGUCCAUGUUGUUAGUGAAUGCAGAAACAAAAUGAGGGCCUAAUUCAAACGGCAGCGGUUGCACUUACUUUUUUCUGUCUGGAAUAAAUAACUCAUAAAUUCUCAUCAUGUCAUUCUCUGGGAAGAAACAAAACUUUCGUCACACCCUUAAAUUUAGCUUUUACAGACCAGACAUCUUGUGAUGAGAUUUACAGAAAGUGACAAAAGACCAGAAAGUAUGUGGCUGUCAUCACCAUAAUUUCCAACAACGGG